rnacentral:tRNA from 1 species
GCCCCAGUGGCCUAAUGGAUAAGGCACUGGCCUCCUGAGCCAGGGUUUGUGGGUUCGAGUCCUGUCUGGGGUG